AACAUNGCGUUUAGCUCCACAAGUAUUAAAGGUCAUGCCUGCCCAGUGAAGCAUUUCAACGGCCGCGGUAUCCUAACCGUGCAAAGGUAGCGUAAUCACUUGUCUUUUAAAUAAGGACUUGUAUGAAUGGCUAAAUGAGGAUAGACCUGUCUCUUUUAACCGACCAGUGAAACUGAUCUUCGAGUACAAAAGCUCGAAUAGGCCCAUAAGACGAGAAGACCCUGUGGAGCUUAAAACCCGCACUAUAGAGAUCUUAACAUAGGGCAGAGAUUUUAAGUUGGGGCGACUUCGGAACAAAUAAAACCUCCGAGCACAGAGCCACACGCUCUUACUAAGACUUACAAGUCAAAGAAACAUGCUGACCCAGUCUUACUGAACAACGAACCAAGUUACCCCAGGGAUAACAGCGCAAUCUUCUUCAAGAGUCCUUAUCGACAAGAAGGUUUACGACCUCGAUGUUGGAUCAGGACACCCAAAUGGUGCAGCAGCUAUUAAAGGUUCGUUUGUUCAACGAUUAACAGUCGUA
rnacentral:rRNA from 1 species